rnacentral:rRNA from 1 species
UACGUAGGGUGCAAGCGUUGUCCGGAAUUAUUGGGCGUAAAGAGCUCGUAGGCGGUCUGUCGCGUCGGAUGUGAAAACCCAGGGCUCAACCCUGGGCCUGCAUUCGAUACGGGCAGACUAGAGUUCGGUAGGGGAGACUGGAAUUCCUGGUGUAGCGGUGAAAUGCGCAGAUAUCGGGAGGAACGCCUAUGGCGAAGGCAGCUCGCUGGGACGUUACUGACGCUGAGACGCGAAAGCUAGGGGAGCAAACGGG